rnacentral:rRNA from 1 species
CCUUUCGGUAAGGGCCCAGGUAGACCACCUGGUUGAUAGGCCCCAGGUGCAAGCGCGGCGACGCGCUCAGCCGAGGGGUACUAAUCGCCCGAGCUCUUCUCA